CUGACCUAACGAACAAAAAGAAGAAAGAAAAAGAAGAAAAAAAAAGUGGCUGGGUUAAAUUAUCGGCAUAGCCGGUGUCACGGUCGUGUGUAUAUUUUAGAGGCGAGCUUCUCUCGACUCCGUGAUCUCUCCUCGACUACGUGGCCGGCGUUACCGUGAAUGCAUUGCUGUUGCACCUAUAACGCCUGCCUUUUGUAUAAUCAUAAAUCUCGAGACCUGCGAAAAAUCAGCGGCUUAUUCGCGCCAACGGAUCGGAUGUCCGGGGCAAUGUUUAUCCAUUUACGGUUUCACCGAUAAUUCACCCCAGUCGUUAGUUCGUUCGACGAUUUUUAAGAAUUGCUAGAUCCAAGGAAAGAGUGGAAAGGUGUAUUGUGAGAUACGUGGCCGAGCGGAGAUACAGCUGUUCAGCUUUGUGAAAUUCUUUGGAGAACGAAGGAAUUCGCCGUGAUAGAUUGCAAUUUAAGAGAACCACCAAGUUAUCGUACAAAUAAGGGAUUGAAGUUACGGAGAUUUAUCUCUGGCUUCUCAUGAUUGUAUGGGUCGUGCAACGUGUACGUAAGUCGAACAAGAGCAGGAACUUUCCCAGGCAUUUAACACCCUCGUGAAUACCGGCAAAAAGUGACAGAUCUUUCGUUAAGCUGCUCUGUUCCUGAUUUUCGAGCCUGAUUUCUUAGGAAAUGCUUCUUUCCGUUCGCGUUUGUCUCACCAAGAUCGAGGGAAAGAUAUCAAAAAGAAGAGGAACAUCGUCUCGAAUUACGAAAUUCUUUAAUAUUCCAAAACACGAUCUGAAACCCAGACGGAUACACGUGGAAGGAAACAACAUCGAAACGAAUGGUCAGCGAAAAUAACAUAGAGGCGAAUGGUCAGAUAAAAUCGAGAAAAUAUCAAUCAUAGGAUACAAGGACGAGCAGGGGCAGACAGAAAGGAAGAAGAAAAAGGAUCGAGCAGCGGUAAGGGAACGGGAUGUACGCGAAAACAAGCGAUUACUUCAUCGAAGAAUUCCUAUCGUGGCGUGGAUCUGUGGUAAACGGCCAUCACGUUUGACGAUUCGAAUCCUCGUUUCGUAUGGUGUUUGAUAAUCAUCUUAACGCGUAACAUCGCACUUAUGUCUGCAAUGUAUGUGCGUACACCUCUGCUCAUAAGUACCUGGACGCCUGGUAAAUUUGGCGUACAAAUAUACAGGUGUCAGUGAUGGUAAAAAUAAAUUAUGGAUAGAAAUAUGUAUAUUUUUUUUUAUGAACUAUAGACUUUAAGAAUUUCUAUAUACACCUAUACCUCGCUAUACGACCGCUCUUUAACGGCUUUUUUUAAUUAUGGCACUUUUUCAAUUUAUGGCCCACAAUGUUUCG